rnacentral:rRNA from 1 species
UGGGGAAUAUUGCACAAUGGGCGAAAGCCUGAUGCAGCGACGCCGCGUGAGGGAUGACGGCCUUCGGGUUGUAAACCUCUUUCAGCAGGGAAGAAGCGAAAGUGACGGUACCUGCAGAAGAAGCGCCGGCUAACUACGUGCCAGCAGCCGCGGUAAUACGUAGGGCGCAAGCGUUGUCCGGAAUUAUUGGGCGUAAAGAGCUCGUAGGCGGUUAGUCGCGUCUGCUGUGAAAACUCGAGGCUCAACCUCGGGCUUGCAGUGGGUACGGGCUGACUAGAGUGCGGUAGGGGUGACUGGGAAUUCCUGGUGUAGCGGUGGAAUGCGCAGAUAUCAGGAGGAACACCGAUGGCGAAGGCAGGUCACUGGGCCGCAAACUGACGCUGAGGAGCGAAAGCAUGGGGAGCGAACAGGAUUAGAUACCCUGGUAGUCCAUGCCGUAAACGUUGGGCACUAGGUGUGGGGUCCAUUCCACGGAUUCCGUGCCGCAGCAAACGCAUUAAGUGCCCCGCCUGGGGAGUACGGCCGCAAGGCUAAAAACUCAAAUGAAUUGACGGGGUCAUAGCUGUUUCCU